rnacentral:tRNA from 1 species
GCAGCGGUGAUUCAGUGGUAGGAGUCUCACCUUCCAUGCGGGAGACCUGGGUUCAAUUCCCGGCCGAUGUG